AGUGGCUGUCAGCUGCGGCCCUGUUGUUAAAGCGCUUGUGUAUUGCAAACCGGACGACCGUGCCGUGAAAACACAGAGCACCAGCACACCAAAGUGUUUUCCUACCAGUUUCUGCCCAAUUGCCGGUUCCGAUUCAAUCAACGCAAAACAAAGCGCCAGCACGCGCCCGCUAUCAAUUCCCGACCAUACACACAUUCAACGCUACCAGACCAUCGUUUCCAAGCAAGCGUGCUGCCGAUACGUCCUGCUGCCGCCCUCCUAACCUCAACCCGGCGAACAGACAGAAUGUCGCACACCAUCCUGCUGGUGCAGCCGGGGCAGCAUCCGGAAACGCGCACCUACAGCGACUACGAGAGCGUGAACGAGUGCAUGGAGGGGGUGUGCAAGAUCUACGAGGAGCAGCUGAAGCGGCGCAACCCCAACACACCGACCAUCACCUACGACAUUAGCCAGCUUUUCGACUUUGUCGAUCAGCUAAUCGAUCUCAGCUGCCUCGUCUACCAGAAGUCGACCAACACCUACGCGCCCUACAACAAGGAAUGGAUAAAGGAGAAAAUCUACGUCCUGCUGAGGCAGGCGGCCGGCACCAACGCUAUUGAGCCCACCCGUUGCGACCCUUUCGGUUUUGCAGCGGAAACGUUUCUUUUUUUCUUUUUGUUCCAUCCCUUCUGCACCGUUUCGUUCGUUGGAGCAUGUUUUAACUUGAGUAUACUGUACAGAAACACAUACCUACUAUCACUGCGAGACCCGCGGAAGAAAGAGAGGAUGGCCAAACCGUACUUAAAUCUGUAGCGUGUAAGCAAAUCUUGAACUAUCCACGCAGGCAAUCCGCAAACCCUCCCGCAGAGAGUUAACGUGUGUUUGUGUGCGUGCGUGUGUGUGCAUCAACGUCAACUUCGUGUAAAAUAAUUACCCAGCCGCCGAUGGAAUGUUGUGCGUUGCAUUGCGAUUGAAAUCGUUGGUUAAACCACGUGCUGAAGCGCAGGAGUUCCGCAAAGCAGUAAUUUAGGUCCACUGUUAGUGUUGCUAUUUGCAAAUGAUGUUACGUCUGUUCUGAAGGGUCAUAUCUGUUUAAUGUAUUUCAUAUUUUGCGAUUGCUCUUCUGGCUGCAUUGAACUGCAAGAACGGACAAAUAGGUUUAGUGUUAGGUGUCGUAAAAACUAUCUGUCGGUCUCAGUAGCCAAAUGUAGCGUGGUGGCCUUUAAUUGCUAAAAAAGCGUUUGUGAUUUAUUACUACAAGCUAUGUACAACGCCUGUACAACGUCACUUAGGAAUCAUUUUAGACAGCAAAUUAGAUUUCCCUGUUCCUUAUUCCUAAUGCUAGGAUUCGUUAACCGUCACUCACCGAUCCAUAAUUGAUCUUCAUUGUUUAAAGUCGUUCUACUAAUCGUUUGUCCAGUCUAUACUAGUGAUUUGCUCUUUGGAGCGCACCCACGACUCCGAUCCGACUCCGGCAAAAUCCGAGCCACUAGUUCCGCCCGGAGUCGGAGUCAUCCAAAGUCGCCCGGAGUCGUUCGGAAUCGUCCGGAGUUAUCCGGAGUCCGUGUUCGGAACAAAUUCCUGAGCCACGGAUUCCAGAGCCAAUUUUGGAGUCGAUUCCGGAGCUGAUUCCGGAGCCGAUUCCGGAGAUGACUCCGGAGCCGAUUCUGGAGUUGACUUCGAAUCCGGAAUCGGAAUCGACAUGGGAAUCGCAAUUUGCCCCGGUAACGAAAUCAGAAUUGACUUCAGAAUUGGAAUUUGCUCCGAAAUGAGAAUCAGUUCUUGAAUUGAAAGAAGUUUCAGAAGCGAAAUCAGUCCGAGAAUCUCCAUGAGAAUGGCUCGUUUACAACGAGGAUCCAAAAGCCUAUUCUUAUGGAGAUGCCGAAACUAAUUCCGAUUUCGAAGCCUAUUCUGAUUUCGGAGCCUAUUCUGAUUCCGGAGCCGUUUCCU